rnacentral:ncRNA from 1 species
AAAUUAUAUGAAAAAAAUUGUAUGCUUUUCAUAUAAGAAUAGAUUCCUAAAUUAUGAAAAAAAAUUUUAAAUCGUUGGCUCUUCCAAUCAUUGUGAAACAGAAUUCACCAAGUGUUGAAUUGUUCACCCACUAAUAAGAAACGUGAACUGUGUUUAGACCGUCGUGAGACAGGUUAGUUUUACCCUACUGAUGUCCGUUAACCCGUCUUGUAGCGCUCCCG